UCACGCCUUCCAGAGAUGGAUCUCCCGUUUACUUCACAGGCACCGUCUUUAUCCAACAUUGUCUUGAUAUUUUAAGAAAGCAGAUUUUGCUGCUGCGUGAUUUAGGAGUGUAGAAGUGCGUACCUUUCAUUGGCAGCCCUUGUGCAGUAACGAUCGCGACGGGGCGGGUCGGGCUAGAGAAAACGGAGCCAUUGGCGGCGCUGUGUCAGUGUUUCCCGCAAGCUGCGGGAGUAUAGACGUGUAGGUCUGUAUCCACACCCACCUGCUACACCCACGCCCACGUGUCUACACCUUCACCCACCUCGCCUCUCACACACUCACCAGACGCGCCCCCUCACCAGCCACCCACCGAGGGCCAUGAACACCAUUCGCCGGUGAUCCCUAUAGUCUCAGACAUGACCUGCCUGUCUCAGGAACCUCCUCUCUGAACCUUUCAACCCCUCCGACAUUAACAAGCUUCCACCUUCCAAGGUGUGUAGUGAUGGCGGGAGGACAGGCGGCCAGCCUGGUGCUGCAGGAUGGCACCAGCUUCCAGGGACGAGUGUUUGGUGCGCCCGUCUCCUUCUCCGGCGAAGUUGUAUUUCAGACUGGUAUGGUGGGCUACCCUGAGGCUUUGACAGAUCCAUCGUACUGCGGCCAGGUGCUGGUGUUGACUUAUCCGCUUGUGGGCAAUUAUGGCGUUGCAGAUACUACCCAGCUUGAUCAAUAUGGUCUCAUCAAGUGGAUGGAGAGCAACAGGGUGUGGGCAGGUGGUCUGGUGGUGGGGGAGGUGUGUGAUCAGCCCUCCCACUGGGCCUCCAUCAAGACUCUAAAUGAAUGGCUACUAGCAGAGGGCGUCCCAGGAAUACAAGGCAUUGAUACUCGCAGUCUUACGAAAAAGAUCCGUGAGCAUGGGUCAAUGUUGGGGAAGAUUGUGGUUGAGGGAGGAGAAGACCCUCCUCUGACAGACCCUAACACCCUUAACCUUGUAAACACUGUCUCUAUCAAGGAACCCCGAGUUUAUAACCCAGAAGGCGACGUCCGUAUCAUGGCGGUGGAUUGUGGCUUGAAGUAUAAUCAGCUGCGAUGCCUAGUCAAGCGCAAGGCUCGUGUCACUGUUGUACCGUGGGAUCACCCGCUCGACCCAACUCAGUACGAUGGACUGUUCCUCAGCAAUGGACCAGGUGACCCACAGAUGUGUAGUACGACCGUGGAACAUCUCCGGUUGGUCAUGGCAUCGAGCACAACCAAACCCAUAUUUGGUAUUUGUCUCGGACACCAGUUGUUAUCUGUGGCUGCGGGCUGCUCUACCUACAAGAUGAAAUAUGGCAAUCGUGGGCACAACCAACCAUGCAUGCAUGAAGGGUCGAGGAGGUGUUUCAUUACGUCUCAGAACCAUGGGUAUGCUGUCGAUGCAGCAUCAAUUCCACAUGAUUGGGCUCCACUCUUCAUUAAUAAGAAUGACAACUCAAAUGAGGGCAUUGUCCAUCGUACUCUUCCAUUCUUCAGUGUGCAGUUUCAUCCAGAACACACUGCUGGUCCUGAGGAUUUGGAGUCUUUAUUUGACAUAUUCCUGGACCAGGCACGGCAGUCAAGUCGAGGGAUUACACGUGAAAAUUGGGACCUGCCGUCUGUGAUCACCAAUCACCUCACUUACAAACCGUUUGCUGAUGUGCCUCAGGCAGACAUUGGCCGACUGCCUAACAAAGUUCUCAUUUUGGGCUCCGGUGGACUUUCUAUUGGUCAAGCUGGAGAGUUUGAUUACUCUGGUUCGCAAGCGAUCAAGGCAAUGAAAGAAGAGGGGGUGGAAUCGGUCCUCAUGAAUCCUAACAUAGCAACAGUUCAAACAAGCAAAGGCCUUGCAGAUAAAGUGUAUUUUCUUCCUAUUACUGCAUCUUACGUUGAACAGGUAAUCAAAUCCGAGCGUCCCGACGGUGUCCUCCUUACAUUCGGAGGACAAACUGCCCUAAACUGUGGUGUGGAGCUAGAGCGGGCAGGUGUGUGGGCCAAGUAUGGAGUUCGAGUUCUUGGUACUCCGAUAGCAUCCAUUGUGCAGAGUGAAGAUAGGAAGAUGUUUGCCGAGGUGGUGGCCUCUGUAGGUGAUAGAGUUGCCCCUUCAGCUGCUGUGUACUCUGUGGAAGAGGCUCAUGAAGCAGCUGAGAGAAUUGGGUAUCCAGUGCUUGCUCGGGCAGCAUAUGCCUUAGGAGGACUUGGUUCUGGCUUUGCUGACAAUUCACAGGAACUGGCUAAACUAGCAACAUCAGCCUUUGCUCAUUCACCCCAGCUUAUUAUAGAUAAAUCACUGAAAGGAUGGAAGGAAGUAGAAUAUGAGGUAGUGCGAGAUGCCUUUGACAACUGCAUAACGGUGUGUAACAUGGAAAACAUUGAUCCUCUAGGGAUUCAUACAGGCGAGAGUUUUGUCGUUGCUCCAUCUCAAACUCUGACAAAUAGGGAAUACAAUAUGCUUCGCUCCACUGCCAUCUCUGUUGUCAGACGUCUGGGUGUGGUGGGGGAGUGCAACAUCCAGUACGCUCUUAACCCAGCUUCAGAGGAAUAUUACAUAAUUGAAGUGAAUGCUCGUCUGUCCCGCUCUUCUGCUUUGGCGUCUAAAGCCACUGGAUACCCUCUGGCAUAUGUGGCAGCUAAGCUUGCCCUUGGAAAGGCUCUUCCUGACCUAACUAAUUCUGUAACUGGGUCAACAACUGCUUGCUUUGAGCCAUCUUUGGAUUACUGUGUUGUAAAGGUCCCUCGCUGGGAUCUAUCAAAGUUUAACAGAGUCUCUACAAAGAUAGGGAGCUCAAUGAAGAGUGUUGGAGAAGUGAUGGGCAUUGGACGCAGCUUUGAGGAAGCAUUGCAAAAGGCUCUCAGGAUGAUGGAUGAAGCAUUACAUGGCCUUGAUCCAUACGUUAGUGAACCAGAUGAGGAGGAACUACGACAACCGACAGAUAAACGAAUGCUGGUCUUAGCUGCUGCCCUCAAGCAAGCAUGGGAUAUCGAUAAACUGUAUAACCUAACAAGAAUAGAUAAGUGGUUCCUAUACAAGAUGAAAAACAUUACUUCUAUGUAUGAUCAACUGGAAAAUCUCGGCGACGAAGAACUCGAUGAAACAAUUCUGUAUCGAGCAAAGCAGCUUGGGUUUUCUGAUAAGCAGAUUGGGAAAGCUGUUCAGUGCACUGAACUUGCUGUUCGAGCCCUCAGGGAAAAACAUGGAAUACUGCCAGGGGUGAAGCAGGUGGAUACAGUGGCUGCCGAGUGGCCAGCAACAACCAAUUACCUUUACCUUACUUACUGCGGCAAGAGUCAUGACCUUGCCUUCCCUCCAGGGGCCACUAUGGUUCUAGGAUCAGGUGUGUAUCGAAUUGGGUCAUCUGUGGAGUUUGACUGGUGUGCAGUUCAGUGUAUUCGAACACUCCGCAAAUUAGGCCACAGGACCAUUAUGGUGAACUAUAACCCAGAAACGGUUUCAACAGACUAUGACAUGUGUGACCGACUUUACUUUGAUGAAAUUUCAUUUGAGGUUGUUAUGGAUAUUUACAACCUCGAGAGCCCCCGAGGGGUGAUCCUGAGUAUGGGAGGACAGCUUCCCAAUAAUAUUGCUAUGGACUUGCAUCAUCAGAAGGCCCGCAUUCUUGGCACCUCGCCAGAGUCCAUAGACGGGGCAGAAAAUAGAUUCAAGUUCUCUCGUAUGUUGGAUCGCAUUGGUAUUUCCCAGCCGCAAUGGAAAGAACUAACAAAUCUAAACUCUGCUCAAGCAUUUUGUGAAGAGGUGGGGUUCCCCUGCCUUGUCAGGCCAUCGUAUGUUCUCUCUGGAGCAGCGAUGAAUGUGGCUCACUCACAUCAAGACUUAGAGACCUACCUCAAUCAGGCAGCAGCUGUUUCAAAGGAGCAUCCUGUUGUUAUUUCAAAAUUCAUCUUGGAGGCUAAAGAAAUUGAUGUAGAUGCAGUAGCAGCAGAUGGAGAGCUUGUGUGUAUGGCUGUGAGUGAGCAUGUUGAGAAUGCCGGAGUGCACUCUGGGGAUGCCACUCUCGUCACACCACCACAGGAUUUAAAUUCGGAAACCCUGGCCAAGAUUACCUCCAUCUGUGCUGCUAUUGGAAGAGCUCUUGAAGUCAAUGGACCAUUUAACAUGCAAUUAAUUGCCAAGGAUAAUCAUCUGAAAGUCAUAGAAACAAACUUGAGAGUGUCACGGUCCUUCCCAUUUGUAAGCAAAACUCUUGAUUUUGACUUUGUAGCUUGUGCUACCAAGGUGAUUGUUGGUGAGAAGGUCACACCCACUCAUGUUCUUCGAGGUGUUGGACGUGUUGGUGUCAAAGUCCCGCAGUUCAGCUUUUCUCGUCUUGCUGGAGCUGAUGUUAUGUUGGGAGUGGAGAUGGCAUCAACGGGAGAAGUGGCAUGUUUUGGAGAAAACCGCUAUGAAGCUUAUCUCAAGUCCAUGAUUUCAACUGGUUUUGUUAUUCCACAACGAUCAAUCUUGCUGUCAAUAGGUAGUUACAAGCACAAGAAUGAACUUUUACCAGCUGUUAGAACUCUGGCACAAAUGGGAUACAAACUCUAUGCAUCACUUGGCACAGCUGACUUCUAUUCUACUCAUGGUAUUCAGGUGGAGCCAGUAGAAUGGGCCUAUGAAAACUUUGGAGAAACAGCCACCAAGGGACAGCUCUCUUCCAUGGCUGAUUACCUUGCCAGGAAAGGACUAAUCUACAGCAUACGGGAGUUUGAUCUGGUAAUUAACCUGCCUAUGCGAGGAGGGGGUGCUCGACGGGUGUCCUCCUUCAUGACUCAGGGUUAUCGCACCCGCCGCAUGGCUGUUGACUUCUCCGUCCCUCUUGUCACUGAUGUUAAGUGUGCCAAACUCCUGGUAGAAGCUCUCCGUCUGAUUGGGGGAGCCCCCGACCUGAAGACUCAUGUCGAUUGUGUUACGUCUCGCAGAAUUGUCAAGUUACCGGGACUCAUCGAUGUUCAUGUGCAUGUCAGAGAGCCAGGUGGUACUCACAAGGAGGACUGGGCAUCAUGCACCGCUGCUGCUCUGGCUGGAGGAGUCACCCUCAUCUGUGCAAUGCCGAACACACAACCUCCUGUGACAGAUUUGGCUGCCUUCACACUAACCAAGGAGCUUGCAAGCAGAAGUGCCAGAUGUGACUAUGCCAUCUUUGUGGGGGCAUCGUGUGACAAUCAUUCCACUGUGGCAGAGUUGGCGCCUCGUGCAGCAGCACUCAAGAUGUACCUCAAUGAAACUUUCACAAGUCUAAAGCUGGAUGAUACAACAACAUGGUUAAAGCAUUUAGAGUCGUGGCCGUCGAGUGUGCCAGUGUGCGUCCAUGCUGAAGGUCGGACUACAGCCGCUGCUCUCAUGAUGGCUCACCUCGCUGCUCGCCCUAUUCAUGUGUGUCACGUUGCACUCAGAGAAGAAAUUCUUCUUAUUCGUUCUGCUAAGGACAAGGGAAUGACUGUGACGUGCGAGGUGUGUCCUCAUCACCUCUUCCUCACAUCGGAUGACCUAGAACACCUAGGAUUAAAGGGAGAUGUACGGCCAAGUCUCGUCUCCAAAGAAGACCAGCAGGCCCUUUGGGAUAAUUUGGAUGUUAUCGACUGUUUUGCUACAGAUCAUGACAGCUCAGAUGAGCUGCAAGGACAACAACAGGCCCCACACACUUUAGAGGAAAAAACUGGAACAAAAUCACAUCCCGGUUUUCCUGGUUUAGAGACCAUGCUGCCACUUCUUCUGACAGCAGUUACUCAGGGAAGGUUAUCAAUGGAGGAUCUGAUAAAUAAGUUACACCACAAUCCACGGAGAAUCUUUCACCUGCCCCGCCAACCCAGGACUUAUAUAGAAGUUGACUUAGAUGCUCAGUGGACUAUUCCAGAGGCUCCUCCAUUCAGCAAGGCUCAGUGGACGCCUUUUGCAGGCAUGAAAGUUACCGGACGUGUACAAAGGGUUGUGCUUCGAGGAGAAGUUGCCUACGUGGAUGGGCAGGUUUUAUUGCCUCCUGGCUAUGGGGAAGACGUGCGGGAGUCUCAGCCACUUUCUCCUGCGGCUGCCUCGGCCUCGUCUGUGACCGGAGGUCCGGUCUUCCCUGCCCCUCACUGUACUCAUCCCUCGAGCAUUCCACUCUCGCAUUCUCAGCAUUCUGUUCCAAGUUAUGGGGGCCACAAAAUUACAAGUAAUGGAGAAAUUCCGACACCAGUGGACACGGUAACAACUCCUCAGCUGAAUUCUCCAUCUUGGAAAGGUGGACAAAAUAUCCAUCGAACUUCAGAACUGUACAGUGAGAUGUUAAUGGAGUUAGGAGUUGGAGAUUUUGGAGAGAGGAAAGAGAUGCCCCCAUCUCGACUCAAGGGAAGAGACACCUCGCCCGUCCGUCCCUUGCCAGCCAUCCCCUCAGGCCUUCCAGGGGUCACUUCUCAUGGACUUCAAGGAGAACAUUUUCUGAGUGUUCAAGGCUUGAGUAAGGAUCAGCUUAACCAUAUCUUCAACCUGGCCCAAACAUUCCGUGUGUGCAUCAACAAAGAACGACCACUGGAACACAUUUUGAAGACUGGUAUGGAAAAGUUACUUGAGGGCAAGCUGUUGGCACUGAUGUUCUAUGAGGUGUCAACCCGAACGCACUGUAGCUUCCAAGCAGCUAUUCAGCGCCUUGGUGGACGUACAGUAACAAUGGACACUAACACGUCUUCAGUCAAAAAGGGUGAAAGUCUUGAAGAUUCUGUGAUGAUGAUGUCUGGGUAUGCCGAUGUGGUUGUGAUCAGACACCCAGAACCAGGAGCAGUUGCUGUAUGUAUUGCGUGUAUUACUGUAAGGUAACAUAGACUAUUAGACAGUGGCGUGUAUUCUUAAGAAGCAAGGUAAACAUUACUGUAAGGUAACAUAGACUAUUAGACAGUGGCGUGUAUUCUUAAGAAGCAAGGUAAACAUUACUGUAAGGUAACAUAGACUAUUAGUCAGUGGCGUGUAUUCUUAAGAAGCAAGGUAAACAUUACUGUAAGGUAACAUAGACUAUUAGACAGUGGCGUGUAUUCUUAAGAAGCAAGGUAAACAUUACUGUAAGGUAACAUAGACUAUUAGACAGUGGCGUGUAUUCUUAAGAAGCAAGGUAAUAAUAAUGUAUAUUGAUGUAAUAAUAAUACUGUAAUUCAUUGUCAGGGUACAGGAAGAGUAUUCAUACAUGGUAGACUUAUAUUAAGCCUCCCCCCAGUCCGAAUUACUGACCCUGCCCAGGAUGCAACCCCACACCAAGCUGACCAACUCCUGAGUACCUACUCACUGCUAGGUGAACGGAGGCAUUAGGCAAAAGGAAAUGUUACCAGCCAUUUCUGUCCCACCUUAGAUUCGAAUCCGGAAUUCUUGAUUGUGCGUCACGAACAAACCCAACUGUACUACCGGGACCCUUUUUCCAGACAAUGAUGUUUACAAAUUAUAUAUACUAACAUGAGCUUAGGGAUGAAUGUUAAAAUAAAACCAAGCAUUGAAUGUAAUGAAUAGCCCAUUUUUGAUGGUGUCUUUAUGGCUCCUCGAACUACCCACUUGGUAAACCCAAACCAAGUUCUUAGAUGCACGAGCACCUACCAGAAACCAGUACUGUACCAGGGUCUGUCCACCUCAAUAGAAACUAGAGUCUGUGGGAACUAGAUCACAGUUCAUUAAUUUGAAGGAAAUGUACAGGAAAGGUAGAACACAACAAAAUAAGCCACUGCAUGGACAACAUUGGCAACCCUUAAACAUGAACUCAUUUCUUAGCAGUAAGCAAAUUAUUAUUAUUAUAAUUACUAACACAUGCUUGCCACCAGAUAGCAACCCCAGCCACCUGAAGAUACCGACUAGCCAGCUACCUCCACAAACUGCCUAUGAAACAACCCAUGAAUAUUACAGGAGCAGGAAAGGGUAGGAAUGGAAAGCCGCCAAGGGACCCACCAGUAAAAAAUUAUUUCAUUACAUUAAAACACUGGAUUUCUGAGAGGGCUUCCCCUCGGUGGCUCCCUGAGCUGUCUCACCAUAGGCAAUAACAAAAACAGGGUUGCACUGUAGGAGGAAGUGGGUAACACAAGUAACUUGAAUGAGCAUCUCAAGAUAAUAACAGGGACCAAGCUGAACGCCAGAGUCCACGAGCCCUUAAAUUUCACCCAAGACAUAGAAGAGAAGAAAGCAAAGAACACUGCUGAAUUUUGGAUGAUGUUGACCUGGGAACAAGCAACAGGUAGGUUAAAGGCAACCACCCAUCGAACCACCUUUGACAUCCGGGCUCAAGCAUGCCAGAAAUACAAAUAAGGCAACCAUCUGAACCAAAUGGGUGACCCCACCCCACCCCACCCCCUAGAGAAAUGGCUAACCCCACCACCAGACAGAACAUGAGGAACCCCCAGCUAGAGCAAGCAAGCAUCAGACCAAGAGAGCCUCUCUGGAAAGCAACUAAUACUCAACGAGAAACAAAGGUGACAGCAGGAGUCGCAAAAAACAACCACCAGAAAAGAAUAAAAAAAGCACUUUCAGACAAAAUCAUAAAACUCCCCGAUCCUACAACAAAAAUGAUCAAGAAAAGAAUGAGCUGACCAGAGGAGAAUGAGUCUAAAGGAUCAGGUCCCUAGUGAAAAGCCAAAGCAACUGGGAAGAAGAACCACACAGAAAAGGAAGGUGGGAUAGAGACAGUGGAAUAAAAUCCCAGUGGCUGAAGAGGGCAGUGGCAACAGCCCUACAGGAGAAACAUUGGUGUACUGCCAGGGAAAUGUAGAAGUGCACACAAGUAUCACAAAUUCUAAUGAGAAAAACUCAGACAAAAUCAGGUAGCCACUAAAGUACUCAAAGGCCAACGAGUAACCAAGAGCACUCACAUAAUGGAAGGAAGUGGCUAGACCUGUUCUAGGGUACAGACAAGACAAACCAUGUUCUAGGGCCCUCGAACAAAACUUCAACAGCUGACAAGGAACCAGAAAGCUGUCAACCCAAAAAGGACUACGAACUAUGGCUCGUAGUCUGGCAGGGUGCCCAAACCCACACCAACCCCAUGACCUAUAAAACCAAGGAAAGGGAAGGUGAAGCUGCAAAAGAACCUAGGGCUGGAACACUCGCACACAGUACAACCCUGAAAAAGUUUACUACUGCAUACCCCAACCACCAGACUUGCAGAGCAACUAAAGCAUGUGCAGUACCUGGAACAGGACCUUUCAAAAGGAGGUAAACACCCAAUAGUGGGUUGCAAAACUGUCUCGGUAGAUUGAAAGAAGCUUUCAGAAGACCGAAAGCAGGGGUAACUCGAGAAAAGAACAAAACACAUGCCACCUUGGCAAAAUGCAGGUUUGGGCACAUGCAUCAGGAAGGCUAAAAUAUGAAACCUGAGAAAUAAACACAAAGACUCCUGCACUGUGCUAGAGUUCGAAGUCCAGCUUUAUUCUCUUCAAGCUCAGUCCUUGCCCGUCAAUUCAGUAGCAUCAGGCGUAUUAUUGAGAAAGCCAGCUGGUCGGGUCUUGGUUGGCCAAGGCUGCUAUCUACUUGGUGGCAAGCUAGUGUUAACUAGCAGUAGUUUUUCGGUGCUGUGCAUGUUCAUACCAGGGCCACCAAUUUUGUCCAUGCAGGUGCUUUUUGCCGUGUCUUUCCAGGUGCCCUCUGGUGGGUUUUCCUUCAGGUUACUGUGAUUUGUCUAGUAACCCCAGACUCCCUUUACCUUUGUUGAGGGGAAUGGGGCAGAUUGUGAUACUGGCUACUUGUAGAAACUUGAAUUUUUGAGCCUGGUAUGGUAUCCUGGAUUAGGAGCUUUGUUUUGAGCCUGGUAUGGUAUCCUGGAUUAGGAGCUUUGUUUUGAGCCUGGUAUGGUAUCCUGGAUUAGGAGCGUACCAGCUGGAUAGCUUGGGGAAUUACCAAGGAAGACCCCUCCCUAAAACUUAUGAUGCUAGUUACAUGAAUUAAAGAAUUUAAAUUAAUUAUAGUACUUUUAAGAUUUUAAUGUAAAGCAUAUAUUGCUUAUGUGAAACUAAUUAUUAUAUAAUGACUUUCCAGCGCGCAGCAGCUGUCAGUCGUCGUCCCGUGAUUAAUGCU
rnacentral:misc_RNA from 1 species